rnacentral:lncRNA from 1 species
UUUUAUUCUGACAGCCUAAUUUCUUUAAGAGGCUUUCAUGAAAGACUUUGCAAAAUGCUAUUUGAAAAUCAAAGCAGACUACACCAGCUAAAUGUCUCCUGCCAGUAUGCUUAUCAACUUGUUUAAUGAAUUUCACUGGAUUUUUUGAUUGUCUCUUCCAAAGGGCAACUUUUGUGUGACCACACUGAAAUUGUGCCAGGUAGCCUGCAAUCCACACCAGAAGAUCAACACUAAAGAGCAAGAACUGUACUCAGUAACAGCAGCACUGGGAUUUUGCUGCUGCUACAGCCUGCUUUGGAUGCUUCCUUUGCACAGGGAACCACUCACCCAGCCCUGCUGGGGCUUGGAAGCUACAGCAUCACCCACCAGCAGCUCUCCAUGUGUCUGAAGGGCCAGCAGCUGUUGGACACCCUGGCUGCAGAACACGUGUGCUUUAUUUCUUUUGGCUGUGGGUGGUUUAUGAUGACAGGUGCUGAGGACAAGGGCAGGCACUCUCUAACACUUGUACAUUAGGCAGAGGGAUUAAAUGCAUGCAGGUCUCUUUGUGCAGGGAGCUAUCAAGACAAAAAGUGCACCACAUAUUGAGUUCCUAGAAAGAGGAGUGUCCUCUUUUUGAACCUGGGAGAAGAGGUACAUUGAAGCUGAAGAUGUUGUGGCUUGCAGUGUCUCCAGG